UAAUCUAUUUGAGGCAGAUCCUCAUUUAGUUGUGGCAGAUCCACACCUAACUGCCCAUAAUCACUUGUUAUCGUAAGCCCAACUACAUCAAGUACCCUUUAAACCAUAGUUUUGAAA
rfam:Populus trichocarpa isolate Nisqually-1 chromosome 4, whole genome shotgun sequence.